AACGAACGCUGGCGGCAUGCCUAACACAUGCAAGUCGAACGAGACCUUCGGGUCUAGUGGCGCACGGGUGCGUAACGCGUGGGAACCUGCCCUUAGGUUCGGAAUAACUCCACGAAAGGGGUGCUAAUACCGGAUAAUGUCUUCGGACCAAUGAUUUAUCGCCUUUGGAUGGGCCCGCGUUGGAUUAGCUAGUUGGUAGGGUAAAAGCCUACCAAGGCGACGAUCCAUAGCUGGUCUGAGAGGAUGAUCAGCCACACUGGGAGUGAGACACGGCCCGGACUCCUACGGGAGGCAGCAGUGGGGAAUAUUGGACGAUGGGCGAAUGCCUGAUCCAGCAAUGCCGCGUAAGUGAUGAAGGCCUUAGGGUUGUAAAGCUCUUUUACCCGGGAUGAUAAUGACGGUACCGAAAGAAUAAGCUCCGGCUAACUCCGUG
rnacentral:rRNA from 1 species